AAACUACCAAGGAUUCCCCUAGUAACGGCGAGUGAAGCGGGAUGAGCUCAAAUUUGAAAGCUGGCCUUUGGUCCGCAUUGUAAUCUCGAGAAGUGUUUUCCGUGUUGGACCGCGUACAAGUCCCUUGGAAUAGGGCGUCGUAGAGGGUGAGAAUCCCGUACUUGACGCGGCAGCCAAUGCUUUGUGAUACACUCUCCACGAGUCGAGUUGUUUGGGAAUGCAGCUCAAAAUGGGUGGUAAAUUCCAUCUAAAGCUAAAUAUUGGGGAGAGACCGAUAGCGAACAAGUACCGUGAGGGAAAGAUGAAAAGCACUUUGGAAAGAGAGUUAAACAGUACGUGAAAUUGUCGAAAGGGAAGCGCUUGAAGUCAGCUAUGCUGUCUAGGAUUCAGCCUUGCUUUUGCUUGGUGUACUUCCUAGCGUGCAGGCCAGCAUCGGUUUCGGCUGCCGGAUAAGGGUGAAAGGAAUGUGGCACCUUCGGGUGUGUUAUAGCCUUUCACUGGAUACGGUAGCUGGGACCGAGGUACGCAGUGCGCCCUCGUGGCGGGUCUUCGGACACCUUCGCACUUAGGAUGCUGGCGUAAUGGCUUUUAAGCGAC
rnacentral:rRNA from 1 species